CUGCUGAGGAGAGGAGACGUGUGCAUGAAGCUUCUUCAGGUUGCUGUACAUUUUAUAUGUUGUGCACAGGCCAGCGAGUCCGGAUUCUGCAGUCUCACAUAAAAAGACAGCCAGCAUGAAUCACUGUUGGGAUCAGGGAUGCUGUGUUUUCCCAGCCUGUCUAAUCCUCCCACAUAUCAAAAUGACUCUUUAUCUUAUUAACACUGGGUCACGUUGUCAUUGAUUGAAAGUCAUCUUGCUUAUUGCGCCCUGUCUCUGGAAUGUGGACACAACAGAGCAGGGCUGCGCAACUGCCGGCCCGUGGGCCUAAUCCCACUCUUCAAUGACAUCAGACCAGCCUUUGAGAAUGUGCUGCAGGCCAAUAAAUACAGCCGCAGGCCACAAAUGAUCCCUGCACGGCAAUUUGGACACCCCUGGCUUAAAGAUGCCUCAGAACGACAACACAAACAAAAGCUGGCAGGGGUUGCUCACAAGCGACACCGAGGAUGAAGAAUUCAGUGGAUCGAUGGGGAGUGAAGUUGCCGAGGAGGAGGAGGAUGUCUUUCUUGCUAAUAUGGCACCCGAUCCUUCGCUUUUAGAGGAUGAUGUGUCCGCUUGUCCAACUUUUCAACGCCUAGACGAGAUGCUGUCACUCGGUAGAGUCGGCACAGCCAAAGUGGCCAAGUUGAAAGCGAUCUACAGGCAGCUGAGUGAUGCACUGAAGAGUGCCCAGGACUCAGAGCUGCAUCUUUUGGAAGAGACCACAAAGUUCCGUGCCGACCUAAGGAGGCUCCAAGCCGACUUGGUGAGCGCAGAAGAGCCAAGCUCCUCCGAGGAGCCUGUGAGUGAGGCGGGCAGACUGAGGCUUCAGCUCCUGCAGGCGUUCAAUGAGCUGAAAGCAGCUGAGGACAGAGACUACGUGACACAGCACCAGCUCAAGUGUCUCCAGGAAGAGAAGCGGUAUCUGGUGAAGGAGAACAACAUUCAGCACAAACCUGAUGAUAUGGAGAGCACCACAAAGACCCUCCAGGACAAAUGUGAGAAACUUCAAAAGGAGGUGUCCCAAAGACAGGCGGAAGUCAGAAGUCUGAUGGAAGACAUGGCAACCCAUCAAAUGCGGACAUUGCAGGAACAGAAAGAGCUGGAAGACAUGAAGAAAGUCAUUCAACUCAAAGAGGCCGAGAAAGCUCAGCUCCUUGCCGCACCUGAGCAGAUUUUAAAGGAGAUUGGAGGGAAACGCUCCAAGAGGGAAGCCACAAUGAAGAUGCUAAAAGCGAUGGAUGCCGAGGUUUCAGGCAUUAAGCGGCAAGCCAAGGAGGUGGAGGAGCACAAUGGCCUCCUCAGGGCUCAAAAGGAGGAGCUGGCCAAGGAGCUGGAGGGUCUCAAGGCCCAAAUAGAGGCCGGUGAGAGGAAGUGCAGGCAGCUGGAGAACGAGCAGGAGGUCAGCAGGGAAGAGGAGGCGGAGCUAAUGGGGCACAGGGGGAUCCUAGAAAUGAAGUUGCAGAGUAUCAUGUGCGAGCGAAAGCUCCUCUACGAGAGUCAAUCUGUGCAGCUCAAAGAGAAAAAAAGGCAGAUGCAAGCCUUCAGCAGGAUGGAGCGUGGACUGGCCAUGGCCACCGAGCAGCUCAAACACACGCAAUCGACCUGCAGCGACUUACAAGCACAGUUAGGUGCUCUUCUGAGAAGAGGGGCCAGCGUUGCGCAAAGGAUGGCUCUUCAGAAGGAAGUGGAUGCUCUCAAAGUCAGCUUUGAAAAACAGUUACCAAAAAGCAAAGAAGCGAGCCAGAAGCAGCAGCAGUAUGGGAUCAUUCAGGAGCUGCUGAGGGAAUCAGAUGGCCUGAGACAAGAACUGCAUCACCUCCGCUGUCUCACGUACAUUAAAGCAGAGGAAAGGGGCCACAAGCACCGUGAGAUGAUAAGAGCUGAGCAAAUGAACCAACACAUCCGACAGGAACUGCAAGAGAAGGAGCUCAUCAUGAUGCACCACAGCAAGCUGAGUGCUAUGCUGCAGCGCAGAGUGCUACAGUACGGCGGACUUUGCGACGCGAUCACCGAGGAGAAGAAUAAGUAUGUCAAGCUCAAGCAGAUUGCCUCACAGAGGCUCACGGAGUUACUGGAGCAAGUGAAGGUGCUUGAAAAUGAGCUGGAGAUCCAAAAAAGUAUCGCUACCAGGAAGGACAGGUUCCUGACUAAAGUUCAUAUGAAGAUUUCUAAAAGCUGCAAAAUGAAGGAUAAAUUACACAACAACAUCAACAAGGUUGCUUGGCAGAGCCGUCAGGUUGAUCAGGAGCGUGAGGACAACGAAGUGGAGUUACGGAGGCUCAGGCAAAUGAUCAGCCACCAGGAGCAAAUGCUUCUCGAUAUGAACAAGAACCAGGAAGGAACCGUACAGCGGCGCAAUCUGUUAGGCAUCCAGCUGUUGGAGCACGAGGAGGUCUUGUUCGACUACCAGGAGAAGGUGAACAUGCAGGAGGUGGCCAUCAAUGAAGGCACCGUGGCACUGGAGAACCUGGAGAAGGAGAUGAGAGACUUAAAGGUGGCCAUCAGAGAGGUGACGAGACAGAUCGGCUUCAAGAGGAAAGAGGUGCUGGUCCAGAAGAAACUGGAAGAACAGAUUACUAUGCUGCAGAUAGAGUUGCUGGAGGCCCGAGAUCAGACGCUUGAUCAUCUAAUGCAAACCGCAGAUUACAAAGAGCUAAAAGGCUCCGACCCUUCGUCUUCUGACCUGGUCAGGAAGGUUGAGAAGCUGGAGGCCAACCUUGCCGAAAGGGAGAGGCAGCUUUUGGAGAAAGAGCUCCUGGUGGACCAGGUGACCCGGCUCUUGAAGCCCCUCCAAGAGCAGAACGACAAUUGCCAGCAAGACAGACUGUCAUUGGCCAAGAAGUUGAACGAGCUGCGGACACGCAUCAUUGACGCCAGCCGCCGUCUGAUGGCCACGUCUGCAGAACUGUCAAUGAAGCAGGCUGCCACCCUGUGCCUCCAGCGGGAAAUCAAAGAAAAACAGCUCCAGAUGGACAGGAGUCACAGGCGGCUGGAGCAAGGCCUGCCACCCUGCCCAGAAAUGGAGGAGGAGUGGAGGAGGAUGCUCCAGGACAAGAAGAGGAGACAGAGAGACAAAGAGGAGCGAGAGAGGAUGGCGGAUGAAGGCGAGUGGAACCUGUUGCCUAACGGUCAGCUCACUACGGCAGAGAUACGGCCUGAUGCCUACAUCCCCCAGACGGACGAACUCCCUCUGCCCAAGCCCUAUGGAGCACAGGCCCCCUUCAAGCCCACCCAAGCAGGUGCCAACAUGAGACAUAUACGCAAACCAACGCAACUCAAACCCUUGGAGCUGUCGUGAAAAUGCAAACAAAAUUUUGAAUAGCAUAAAUUCCGCUGUCUUCCCAUUAUUGUACCUCCCUUGUCCUCCUCGCAGAGCAUACUUCCUCUAAUUGCUUCAUGGCAGCAUCUGGUUGCAAUCUCGUUCACUGUUUUUUACGUUAACAGGGAAUAGCUUCUUUGUACAAAACACAAAAUGACACAUUUUUGGAAUAUUUUAUAUCUUUUUUUUUUCUUUUUUUAGUCUGGUUUUAUAUAUCCCUGGCACUGCUAAUGUCGCCAUCUAUGAAUACAUUGCAGCGGCUUUAAGCUGCGAGCUUCCAGUGCCAGCUUAAACCCUGAAAGGAGAAAUGUAAAUAUCAGACAAUGACAAAGAAAGGCGGCACAGUUGAACGAAAGGUAGGUGGAGAGGAGGCAAUGUCGCGGCAAAUGAAGUAAGUCGACUCUAAAUAUACACUUUAUUCCGUUUCUCUUCAUAGGUUUUUUUUUUUUUUUUUAGGUCAUUGAAAUGCUGUUGCACAUCAGUGAUUCACAACUUUUAUGUCUGUACUUACUUAGAUAGUUACCGGGGGUGGAGUACUUGGUAUUUGGUUCUAAUUGGGUGAUUGGGUGUAGUUGUAAAACAUUAAAACCAGACAGACUAUUCUGGGAAGUAAUGGGUAGAUUAAGCUAAGCAAAUGCUAAUAUUAAAGAUAAAACUGAAACAUUUAACUAUUAGUCAGCAAUUUUAGAUGGAUUACGAAAUAAAAUAACACAUGUUAAACUAGAAAAGCACUCGGAGAGCACAGACCUCUGCCAAGCGCCAUAGUUACCCCCAUAUUGUGAUUUACACCAUAAAUAUUAGACCUGCAUUUAUUUUAUCAACAUAUUUAGAUUCCUUGACCAUGAAAAUAUAAUGAUUCAUAAUGAUAUCAAUAGAAAUUCUGUAGUUAUUAAAAAAAAUGACAUUUUCUGUCAUGGUGGUUUUCUUCUGGAUGUACAGAAGCUCCAUAACUUUUGAAGACAACAAGACAACAACACACUCCAGAUUCCACGGUGUCUUGGCUAUAUAUACUGGUGUUUGUUGCAUGUGUAAAGCUUCAUUUGCUGUCUUCCUAUGAUGAAAAUUCCAAAGGCCCCUAUUUUUUUUCUAAUUUUGGAUCAUAGUAUCCGGAAUGACUCCAUUAUCUGGAUAUUGAUAUUUUCUAGAACCUGUUGGAAACUUGUCCUGUUUUUUUUUUCCAAGUGCUCUGAUCAUUUUUUGUGGCGUUAUAUGCACAAAACCCGAAAAUGGUCCUAUCGCGCAAUGUUAAAGAAUCCUUUAAAAAAUUCCUGGAUCUAGACGGUGAUUCGGAUCACCCCCAAAAUGUAAUCAGUUCUUCCAUAUCCCAUUUCUGAGAAUUCCUGAAAAUUUUAUCCAAAUCCAUUCACAACUUUUCAAGUUAUUUUGAACACAAACAAACAGACAAACACCGGCAAAAACAUAACCUCUGCACUGCACUUGCGCUUUGCGCUGGAAAUAAAUUAAAUAUAAAAAAUUGCUCUGGCCCCGAGCUGGAGGAUCUGAUUGAUUGUCUGUCAAGACACGGGACGAUCCUCGGGUCCGAAUGAAGGUUGUUACUGGUGCCGAGUGCAGUCCAAUAACCGUCAGACUGCAUCUGUAAGAGAAUGGUUUUAAGAUCUUCAAAGGCCGCAAAAUUGCUUGUUUGGAAUUUGCACGAGCGCACCAAACAUGGCACAUUGAAAGUCUUGUGUGUCUCAUUAAUAACAAAUGAUUUGUACAUUUACAAUAUGCUGAAGGCCUGCAAAAAACAAACUAAACAAGCCAAAAAUGAUCACCUUGGACACCCUUGAGCUCACAUAUUCAAGGACCGGAAGUUCCUUUCCUAUGGUACUGUAUAAAAGAGCAGUGGUAUGUGUGAUCAUCCAUUGCUGGCAGUUGCUGAGAGCUGUCAGUUUCAUUUAGCACCAAACUCUUCAGGCCUCAUUAACCAGCUACAUAACACGCACCGGUCGAGGCCAGCCACCGCCAAGGCUGGAAUUCCCGAUUCCAAAACAGCAAUUUCUGGAAAAAUGCUUGGCAUGAAUGCGGAUUUCAUGGCUGUAAGACUCAGCUUGCACAAUGAUGAUGAUGAUGACUGUCACUGAGAUCAUUUCCUGACUGCUGAGUCUGUGCUAAACCAAUAUUUGACGAAACCAGAAGAAAAAAAGCAUCCGGGGGCGUUACCAUGCAACCCUUUUUGAGCGCUAAUUGGAAUCAUAUUAACAGAAAAAAAAACUCACUGCAAACGACGCAUAAAAGUACAAGUCCCUUUUUAUUCAAAAGCUGGAUAGAAUGUGUUGUAUUUCACACAAAAACCCCCUUACCGCUCACUUACAGUGAAAAAGGCUAAGUCACAUGAUGAAAACCAAGCCAGAACUUUGUAUGCACGUCUUCUUUUCAUCUCCCUUUCAGUUCCUUUUGUUUGACGCUUCUCCCCUUCUGCAUUUGGCAGGCUUAUUACAAUGUGUUCUGCAAAUAAAUCACUGUAUAAUGAAGCCCUGUUGUUCUCUUCCCUCAUUACAUCAAACCCAAUGCGAAUAUUGGAACAGUGUGUUACAAUGCCACGAUAACAGGAAAUGUCAGAACUGUCACGAUCGGGAAAUGGACCCCUCACAUUGACCAAAUUUGGAUGUAGCGGUAAAACCCCUGACUGUAGCAAAUGAAGCAAGGACGUCUUUUAUUGUUCGUGACUUAUCUUAACACAAAAUGUGUUAUUUCUUUUCUUUUGCUCUGCAGAAGCCCAUCUUUUACUGCCCUUAACCUUAAAAGCAGGACCCCAUAUGAUUUCCCACAUCGCUGACCAAAUGACAGUCACUUAAUCUUCAAAAAUAUUACCUUUUCAUCUUCCAUCUUAUAGAUCCCUCGAGUGUAUCCCCCGCUCUCUACUAUCUCCUCAUUUAGAUUUGCUCUGAAGUGAUAAUUGCGUCCGGUUUUAAAGCGUCCCCUGCUCGUCUGCAAGCAUGUGUGUGUCGGCUUGUGGCGUGUAUGGAUUGGCUUAUAAAUGCCGUCUCACCUCAAAUAGUAAGCAGCCUCCGCUCAAAUAGAUACCGGUCUGCGUUAAGAAAUAAGCGCCAGACUGCAAAUUCAGAAUUUUAUAAAUAUAGAAUUUUACUAUCAUUGUUUAUUUGUGGAGGAAUAUAUGAAAUAUUAUUUAAUAGCACUUCAGUUACCAGUACAUGCCUUUUAAAAUGAUAUGAUAUGUAAAAUAUUUAAUAUUACUUCAAUUAAGUGUUAGUAUUGUGGGAAAACUUAUAUAAUACAUAAAAUCUUAUUUCAUAAUACUUAGUCAUAUCAUGAUUUACUUGUGGAAAUGUGAUGUAUAUAAAAUAUUUAAUUUGUUGAAAAUAUUGGUUAACACUUUAGUAUUUAAAAAAUGCAUUCGUACAAACACCGUCAAUGCCUGGUACUCUCUGGAGUUGAGUGAAUAAACACGACAAUGUUCUUGCUGUUGAUAUAUUGCCGUAGAAUAUGGAGAAUUUGUGGCUGUUCAGGGCUGUAGAAUUCUAUUCCGUUAUUGAUUUUUGCUUUCCCAACUUAAAUGAAAGUGUCAAAAGUUUUCCCUUUCAUACAAACGUCUCUCUUCAGCCUUUCCUUGUCGUCCAACAGCCUCCAUCCAUCACGUCUUUGUCAUUUUCCCUCAAAGCCCAGCAGAAUCAGUGUCUGUUUCAGAGCCGUCUUCUCCACAAACGUGGCGUCUAUGUUCUCCUGCUCGUCGAAGGGGUUCAGAGCUGGUGCACAGUGGAGGGAGGAGGGAGCUUAUGUGGGUGGAGGUUGCCAUAUUUCUGACAUAAUCUCUGGAGAUGGAAGCCGAACUGACGGGAUGAUCCCACAUGUGGCCGAUGAGCACCCUCUGGCGGUGGUCUUCCUCUUGGAAAAGCGGCACCAGCUUCCUGUCUCGAGGGGACGCUGAGGAAAAAAAGGAAACAAUUGACGCGUCUGGAGUUUGAGGUGGAGCGCACCUGGAAGGCGUGCCAGAUCGUAGAAUCUGCAUCAAGUAGGCGGGGUUUAGCUGGACACCAUAGAUAGUCCCGCUGGAUAGGUCCAACACGGCCGUGCUGGACUCCUCCUCCUCUGCGUGCACCACUGUC